rnacentral:rRNA from 1 species
GAUGAACGCUAGCGGCGCGUCUUAAGCAUGCAAGUCGAACGGCAAGAUUGGUGCUUGCACCGAUCCUAGAGUGGCGGACUGGUGAGUAACGCGUGGGUGACGUACCCUAAGGAUGGGGAUAGCUGGUAGAAAUAUCAGAUAAUACCGAAUAUCCUUAUUGUUGUUAGAGGACAGUAAGGAAAGGAGCUUUGGCUUCGCCUAAGGAUCGGCCCGCGUACUAUUAGCUAGUUGGUGAGGUAACGGCUCACCAAGGCGACGAUAGUUAUCCGGCCUAAGAUGGUGAACGGAAAAAUUGGGACUGAGAUACGGCCCAGACUCCUACGGGAGGCAGCAGCUAAGAAUAUUCCGCAAUGGAGGAAACUCUGACGGAGCGACGCCGCGUGGAUGAUGAAGGCCGGAAGGUUGUAAAAUCCUUUUAAGCAAGAAGAAUAAACUUUACAGGGAAUGGUAGAGUGGUGACGGUAUUGCUUGAAUAAGCAACGGCUAAUUACGUGCCAGCAGCCGCAGUAAUAC